rnacentral:rRNA from 1 species
GAUGAACGCUGGCGGCGUGCCUAACACAUGCAAGUCGAGCGGAAGGACGAGGAGCUUGCUUUGCUGAUGUUAGCGGCGGACGGGUGAGUAACACGUGGAUAACCUACCUAUAAGACUGGGAUAAGUUCGGGAAACCGGAGCUAAUACCGGAUAAGAUUCUGAACCGCAUGGUUCAAGAGUGAAAGACGGUCUUGCUGUGACUGAUAGAGGGAUCCGAGCUGCAUUGGCUAGUGGGUAAGGUAACGGCUUACCAAGGCAGCGAUGCGUAGCCGACCUGAGAGGCGGAUCGGCCGCCCUGGAACGUGGCCACGCUCCAUACGCCUGCGGGAGGCAGCAGUAGGGAAUCUUCGGCAACGGUCGAGAGCCUGACGCAGCGGCGCCGCGCGUGUGACGAAGGUCCUCGGAUCGUAAAGCUGUCUUAUGGGUGAUGAACCUCUGUGUGCGUAGCUGUGCCCAUCUUGACGGUACCUACUCAGAAAGCCCCGGCUAACUACGUG